rnacentral:rRNA from 1 species
GUCUGGCCUCAUAUGUGAAAGGUUACCCGCUGGAUUUAAGCAUAUUAUUAAGCGGAGGAAAAGAAACCAAAAGGGAUUCCCCCAGUAAUGGCGAACGAAGAGGGAAAAGCCCAUCCUUAAAUCGUGUUGGUUUAGGCUGAUAUGAGAUGUGGGGUGUAGGUGGUCUUCCUGGAUGUGGCAUGUACAAAAUUGUGUUUAGAAAGCACGUUCCUUAGGGAUGCAAUACAAGGUGAUAGCCCUGUUUAUCGUACAUGUGUCGUAUGACUCCAUAUUCAACUGCGAAGAUUACCCAAGAAUAGGAUUGUUUAAAAGUACAAUCUGGAUACGGGAGAUAAACUUCUUCCAAGGCUAAAUACUAAUACAAGAGACCAAUAGCGAACAAGUACUGUAAAGGAAAGUUGAAAAGUACACUGUUAAGUGGGUGAAAAAGCGUCUGAAAUUAUGAAGAAUUAAGCGUGAUCAGCGCGUUAUAGGAGACUAGAUACUCAAGGCAGUCUUUGGAUUGUUGUACUUAUCUAGUUCGAUCAGCAUCAUUCUACUUGUAGAAUGUUCAACUGAUGGACAACCAACUUAAGGAUAUGUCGCCGUAUUACUGGCAACACCCUAUCCUCAUUCCUGAUAAGCUCUGCUUGUUAGGGUGUGGUAGGGUUAGUUAGUUUAUAGUAGUAUAUCUAAUUCAAGAGUUUUUGUUCUCAAUGCUGAUCCUCAAUGACGGCUGAAACCGACCCGUCUUGAAACACGGACCAAGGAGUAAAGCGUAUGUGCAAGCAGAAGCCAUUGUAAUGGUGUAUGCGUAACGAAAGUAAGCUAGUAUUAAUAGUAAUAUGAUAUACUGACCAAUCCAGUAUUAACAUGAGCAUGUCGAUUGUUAAGUGGAAUUGAGUUAGAGUAUAUAUGCUUUGACCCGAAAGAUGGUGAUCUAUACUUGAAUUGGCUGAAGUCAGAGGAAACUCUGAUGGAGGGUCUCGAACGGUGCUGACGUGCAAAUCGCUUGUCAGACUUGAGUAUAGGGGCGAAAGACUCAUCGAACCAUCUAGUAGCUGGUUCCUUCCGAAAUAUCCCUCAGGAUAGCUAGAACCUAUAUUAGUUAUGUCAGGUAAAGCUAAUGAUUAGAGGUCUUGGAGUUUAAUAGACUUCAACCUAUUCUCAAACUUUAAAUAGGCAAGAAAUAAGUGUUACAUCGGAAUUUCGAACACUUAUAACAAAUAAGGGCUCUAAGUGGGCCGUGUUUUGGUAAGCAGAACAGGCAAAGUGGGUUGAACCGUUAGCAAAUGGGAAAAGCGCCAAAUAUUUACAUAGUGGAAACCAUAAAAGGCGUUGAUUCAUAAAGACAGCAGGAAUGUGGUCAUGGAAGUCGAAAUCAUCUAAGAAGUGUGUAACAACUUACCUGCCGAAUGAAUCAGCCCUGAAAAUUGAUGGCGCCAUAGUAAAUAGCUUCUCCCAUGCCAUUGUUCUAGGUUGCGAUAUAAAGAACAAUGAGUAGGAAGGCGUGACGGUUGCUUUGAAACUCUAUCUAGUAAUUAAGAGUGGAGCGUCCGUUAGUGCAGAUCUUGGUAGUAGUAGCAGCUAUUCUAACGAGAUAGAGUUUACUUUAUCAAUAUGGCAUUCCAAAGAACUGACUUUAUGGUGAAGACAGUAAAGCUUUGAAGGUCGUAGCGGGAAAGGUUUCCUUGUGUGUGGCGAUCAGACAAGGGUUAGUCGGUCCUAAUGGUUUGGGGAAACCCUAGUAUAUACCCUUAUUGGGUAGUUAUGAUAGACCAGAAAGGGAAUCAGGUUAAUAUUCCUGAACUCUGGGGUAUAGAAAGGAGCCUAGUCCUUUUGGGUUAGGUGUUUUGAGACUGUAAAGUCGCGUCGCUAUUUGAGACAUGUGCAGGGGGUCUCGGAAGAGUUCUCUUUUCUCCUUUACAAUUCUGGCUCGACAUUACUGGCUUUCGCUAGUUUAUUGCGAGUAAACUGUGACCAUGAAAAUACGUUCAGUAGUGAAGUGGUUAUACGAGGAUUGGUAGGGCAGACACUUUUUGUUCUGUGUAGUAUUCUCCUGUGCAUCAAAGAAAAUCGAAUGGGGCGUUUUCGUGAAGUUUACUUCCUCUUUCUAUACUCUGAUCCGUACCAGAAUCCGCAUCAGGUUCCCGAGGUUAACAGCCUCUGGCCAAUUAGAUUAAUGUAGGUAAGGGAAGUCGGCAAAAUGGAUUUGUACCCUCGGUACAAAGGUUGGCUCUUGUGACAGUGUGGUUUGGGUAUUGUAAGAACCUAGCCGCCUUGGUCUCGGUCAAGGUUAUGUGCAAAAGAAGGCAGGGACUCUCUAGUACUUUCGGGGAAAGGGAGGAAGCGUCAUGCUCUUGUACUGGUUAGGGGACGACUUUACGCAGAUGUGAUUUGGUGUUCUGGGUCAUGUCGAACAAGCCACAAUAAGCUGUCGAACGAGAACCGAUAGAUUCCGGAGGAAUCCGACUGUUUAAUUAAAACAAAGCAAAGAGAUUAGGCUCGAGACGGGUUCAGG